CCUCUUUUAAGCAGUUAAACCGUUCAUAAGCAGAUUAAAUAUGAUUUAGUGAUAUUGAUUAACGGAAGUACAACCUAACACAACCCAAACCAGAGUGACACAAGUCACGAGCAUCUAUGAAUAUAUGAAUACAACUACAAAGUCUGAAAUAUACAAAAAAUAGGACUGAUAAACAAAUGAAGAAAUGCGGUGCUAUGAACACUGGCAAUCACCUCGCUAAAUGCCGAUAAUUUAGUCUCCGAUUAGCCCAAAACCCGCUACCGGGUGAAUGAAAUACUUGCAUCUGCACACGAUGUACAGGGAGUAAAGUGAGUACUCCAACUCAGUGAGUAAUAAAGGUAAAUAAUAACUUAGCAGUAAGAGAAUCACGUAAGGAAAACUAUCAUGAUGUAUAGAAAGAGUAUAAAACCCCUUGAGAAAAGCAAUGAAGCUGUAAAAUCUUUAGAAAACGUCUUAACCCAGUUUAAACCUCUUUUAAAAAUUCCCCUUUCAAGCUGAUAUGCAAUUGAAUGCAAAUAAUUUGUGCAAAUAAGCACAGAGAUCCGCCACUCAUGCGCAACACUCACUCAAUAGAAAAAGCCAGGUAAUCAGGUAGAUAUCACAUGAAAUAGCAUAACAAAAGAUAAUGGCAGACAAAUAAAUGAGUAAACACAUAAAAUAGUACUGGUACCGCUGCAGCAUGCAGCCUAAUCCAUACAUCAUUGCGGCGUGCAGUCCGAUCUGAUUAUCAUCGACGGCGCUCACUAGGGGUGUGCAAACUCCGGGAGGGGCCCCUUACAGCCCAAGAGCAAAAUCAAGUCAUCUCGCGGCAUCAAAUCUAGGCCCUCGACCUUAUAUCAGUAUCAGUAUCUCACUGCUGCGACGUGCAACCCAAUCCAAAAGUAUCCUCACAACACAUGCCCUCGGCUUUACUCAGUCAAAAAUCACGUAAGCCCCUCGGGCAACAGUAAAACAUGAUGUUCAACCCAAAAAUAUUGUUAGAAAUAUAAUUUCAAGCGUUAAAGCAAAAUAAACUUGGCUGAUUUUUUAACAACAGUGGAAAAUACAUGAUUGAGUUCAAGUAUAAAAUCACAACAGUUAGAAAAUAUCAGUUCAAAUUUCUGGCACGAAAGCCAAAUAUAUCAAUCAGACCAAGUCAAGAUGAUAACAAAUAAGUUUCAAUGAAAUACACGGUAAAAUCAUCAAUUGGGACGGAUCAAGUCGCAAUCUCCAAUGGUGAUCUACCCUAUGAUCGCUAUCCGGCGUCAAGUCACCUCAUUAUAGCAACUACGAUGUGCAAUCCGGGGUCUCAAACCCUCAGAACAUCAUUCACAAUCAUUACUCACCUCAAACCGCCAAAACUCUAGCUCGCUAUGUCCUUGCCUCUAUGAACGGCCUCCUCGUGCGUCGAAUCUGAUCAAAACUAUAGUGAAUACAUCACAAUAGGCUAAGGGAAUAAAACCCAAGUGAAAACAAUCAAAAAAUAUCAAAAAUUUCGAAAUUACCAAAACUCGAGCGUCGAUCCCACUUCUCGAAUCUCAAAAAAAUUCACAUUAACGGGUUCCUUAUUUCGGCGCGAGUCUAUACAUAUCAAGAGCACCAAAUCGGAGUCCAAAUGACCCCUCAAAUCCCAAUUUUAGAAUCUAAAAAUUCAAGCCCUAGUUCUUCCCUUUUUGGCUAAAUCUUCAUGAAUCUCCCAAUUAAUUUCACAAUAUAAAUGAGUUUUAAGUUCAUAAAUCUUUCCUCCAUCGAUUUCCCUUGAAUCCCUCUUUAAUUUCUUUCAAAAGCUCUCAAAAUUACCAACUAUGGAGUGAAAAUGAGCACACACCCGCGCAAGAGAUGUUUAUAACUCUUCUGUCCAGCACUUAAAAAUCCUUCUUCGCGAAUGCGGUCAAAGCCUCGCGUUUGCGAAGCACAACAAUUCCAUAGACCAUAAUUCACAAACGCGUAGCUUUACCCCAGGCAACCCUACGCGAACGUGACCCCACUCAUACGAACACGAAGAACAAAUUUCACUUCUAAUCCACCUGACCCAAUUCCUCUUAUGCGAACGCGAAUACACCCAUGCAGACGCGAUGUCUUCCCUUUUACAAUCUAUGCUAAUGCGGCCCUAUGGCCGCAAACGCGAAGAGAAAAAGCUGGCCAGCCCAAACUCCUCUUCGCGAACGCGAACAUCCUUGUGCGAACGCGCAACACCAGCUCCCAGAACUAUGCGAACGCGGGCCCCUGGCUGCGAACGCGAAGAACAAACUUAGGCCACCCAAAUUCCUGCUAUGCGAAUGCAAGUUCCUUCUCGUGAUCAUGAAGGCAAAAUAUGAACCUGCACUGCUGCUACAUUUUCUACUAUCUUUUCAAAUUCUAAGCUUCCCGUUAGCCAUCCGAAAUCACCACGAGGUCGGGACCUCAACCAAACAUACCUGCAUAAUCCAUAACGCCAUUCAAACUUAUUUCAAUCAUCAAAAUACCUCCAACAAUAUCAAAUUACUCAAAACUCAUCGAAUCCAAGCCUAAGUUUCCAAAUACAUCUGAAAUACACUUUCAAUCAAAAACUCGACAAAACAACGUACGAAUGAUCUGAAAUUUUGCGCACACAUCCCAAAUGACAUAAUGGAGCUAUUGCAACUCUCAAAAUUCCAUUCCAACUCUCAGAUCAAAAUCUCACCUACCAAUCGGAAUUCGCCAAAAUACUAACUCAUCAAUUCAAGCGAAAUUUCACACCGGAUCUCCAAAAACAAUUCCGAUCACACUCCUAAGUCAAAAAUCAUCUUAAGAAGCUAACCAAAUCAUAAAAAUUCUGAUCCGGGCUCAUAUACAAAUAAGUCAACUUUUGGUCAAACCUUUCAAAUUCCAAGCUUUCAACUAAAACUGUUCUUCUAAAUUCAUUCUGACUUUUCCUGAAAUCAACACCAACGAUCUAUAUCAAUCAUAAUACAUCAUAUGAAGCAAGUCAUGCCCAAAAACUGAAAAUCAAAAUGCAAAAGCUCAAAACGAUCAGUCGGGUCGUUACAUAAAUGCUAUCUCACAAUUAUCAGUUCUUACUACUUCUGCUACCAUCUCAGUGAACAAUCCCCAAAGAGCCAAAUCAACCACAACUAGCAUAUUCAUAUUUAUAUUAAAAAGAAAAAAAUUAACAAUUAUAUAAAUGAUAAACAAACUAUUUAUAGGUUUUUCUCGUUUCAUUUGACGUCCUUUUGACUCUUGUCGCCAAUAGUCAGAACAAGAGCAUGAACUUAGCUUAAAACAGUGAAAGCGACUACGAUCUCUUAUUACAAUUUCUCUAUAAUACACUUUGGAAACAAACUUCAUGGCUGGCAAUCUCGGCAUAUCCUUAAAUUCUUGAAAACAUAAAGAGGCAUGCUAGCCGGUAUGCUUAUGAGCCCAAAACAAAUAGCCAACUUCUCGCAGAUAACUGAAAGCUAUGAAUUAAGCAAAACUCUUUGGCUUUGCUACCUGCUAACUUGUAGCCAUUCAAUUUUUAUACACAUUACACACAACCAUAUCAUAUAGAAUUUCAUACUAAAUUCGAAUUACAACAUAGUAGAAUAGUUGAUAAUAAAAAUUAAACAACGAAAAUAGCAUAGAAUUUCAUAUGCUCAAUACUAUAUCGUAUAGAUUCCAUUGACAGAAAGUGAAAAUUACAUAGUUGAGCGAGUGAGUAAUACCUUGAAACAAAGAAAGGGCAGAAGGAAACAAUAGCAGCUGAUAUAGAGCUAAAUUCCAGCAACAGAAAGCAGUGCUUUAGGCUUGAACGAAACUCAAUAGACACCCAGCGAAAAGUAUUCAAGAUUUAAAGCUUCCAGCAAUCCAUUAGCACUCAAAUCUUUACUAAAUCUCUAUUUUUUCUCUGUUAUUUCAAAACCCCUUUUCUCCAGAUCUGAUUUUCUGAAAUUCAAAAAUUGGUUCUCAGCUGUUUCGUGUGUGUGUAUGUGGUGUAGACGAGGGAGCGAGGAAGAAGAAAGGGUCACGGUGCUGUUGAAGGAGAGUCUGAUUUUUGGUCUGUUUUAGUUGCUUCUCCUUCAAAAAUCAGCUGCGCCGUCUUGGGUGUUUCUAAAAGGGAGUUUUCUAUAUCAGAGAAGGGAGGUAAUCUGAUGGUUUAAUAGGUCUAUGUCUAG
rnacentral:lncRNA from 1 species